GCGGGGAUAGCUCAGUUGGGAGAGCGUCAGACUGAAGUUAAAACUUCAUUCACUUGAUUCAUCAAUCUGAAGGUCGUGUGUUCAAUCCACACUCACCGCA